UACGUAGGGUGCGAGCGUUGUCCGGAAUUAUUGGGCGUAAAGGGCUCGUAGGCGGUUUGUCGCGUCGGGAGUGAAAUCCACUGGCUUAACUGGUGGCUUGCUUCGAUACGGGCAGACUGGAGGUAUGCAGGGGAGAACGGAAUUCCUGGUGUAGCGGUGAAAUGCGCAGAUAUCAGGAGGAACACCGGUGGCGAAGGCGGUUCUCUGGGCAUGUCCUGACGCUGAGGAGCGAAAGUGUGGGGAGCGAACAGG
rnacentral:rRNA from 1 species